GACGAACGCUGGCGGCGUGCUUAACACAUGCAAGUCGAACGGAAAGGCCCUGCUUUUGUGGGGUGCUCGAGUGGCGAACGGGUGAGUAACACGUGAGUAACCUGCCCUUGACUUUGGGAUAACUUCAGGAAACUGGGGCUAAUACCGGAUAGGAGCUCCUGCUGCAUGGUGGGGGUUGGAAAGUUUCGGCGGUUGGGGAUGGACUCGCGGCUUAUCAGCUUGUUGGUGGGGUAGUGGCUUACCAAGGCUUUGACGGGUAGCCGGCCUGGGAGGGUGACCGGCCACAUUGGGACUGAGAUACGGCCCAGACUCCUACGGGGGGCAGCAGUGGGGAAUAUUGCACGAUGGGCGGAAGCCUGAUGCAGCAACGCCGCGUGCGGGAUGACGGCCUUCGGGUUGUAAACCGCUUUCGCCUGUGACGAAGCGUGAGUGACGGUAAUGGGUAAAGAAGCACCGGCUAACUACGUG
rnacentral:rRNA from 1 species